GGAAAUUUGUAGAAAUAAUAUUAUUUCUUUUUAUAUGUAUCAAAUGCUAAAAAAUACUGAAUAAAAAAAAAUAACUUAAUUUUUUAUAUGAUAACUAUUUCUAUACACGCGUUGGCUUGACAUUAUAAAAGCGAAAAGUGAAUGUAAAGAUAAAGUCAGGGUCAUAAUGCUAACUUCACUUUACUUCAUAUUUAUAAUGUAUUAAGUUUUAAACCUGUUUGUGAUAUUUAUCAUCAAAAAGCAUUAAAGAAAUCUUUACAUUUUUAAAAAUGAUAAAAAGUCAUCGAUUAUAAUGCACAACGUGCAUUAUAAUUUUCACGCUCUGAACAUUCGAAUUAAAGUUCGUAUCACAAUAGAAAUAAAAAACUCUCAGGUAUAUUAUUCUUUUAUACUACCUACGUCACGCUACCAAUUAUUCUCACGUUUCAGUAUGCUCGAUUUCAUAAUCGUUCUUAUCGCGUGUUCUCGUUAUCGGGAAAUCGCGAAUUAACACGAAGCACGACGAAGCCGGCCUCGGUAGUUACUCGACAGGAAUCGUCAAUUUCCGUCGAGUUCCGAGUCUCGCACGAGGCGUCGGUUUUCGAGUUUACGAAACGAAUCUUCAAACACUCGUCGAACGUGGUGCAGACAACAACAAAGAUAAAAAUUGUGUUCAACGUCAAGUAACUGUCACUUGUUCAUCGAAAAAAACCGAGUUCGCGCGAUAAUAAGUAUUAUUUUAUUCUUACCUCAUCGAGAGUGAUUCCCUCGUGGUCGAGCUGCUUCGUAGUCAGCUUCUCAUUCUUCCUCUCUUUUUCUCCUUGAUAGCCAACAUCGUAGCCAUGUGUAUGCGAACGUGACCGUUCUGUACAACGAUCACCGCCAUGACACACAAUUCCUCGUUCCCGCCGUGGAAGACUUCGAAACGAACAUUUCACGAUCUCACCGACACACGCGCGACAUCCAGCGGGAUCUUUUUGGCAGCCGGCAACAGGUCGCGGUAGUCGCUAUCCCGUAACACGCGUCGUUGUGUUAUUGUUUAUUGUUCGAUCACAACACGGUUGCGGCGUCGGUAGUGUCGAUCGUAUCGUUGCUCUAUUUCGGUCUUCUCAGGUAGGAGAGGAGGGACAGCGCAGUCUGGCUCGGACGAAUGCUUGGAGACACUAUUAACGACGCUUAAGAACGUCCACUCUGCAGACUGAAAGAGACAGAGAAGAAGAGACAGAGAGAAAGAGAAACGACGGUCAGACACAGAGAAAGAAUGAGCGUAAAGGAAAGAAGAAAUGAGACUGGAGCCAACGGUUACCAUUAUAAAUAGUUGCGACCAAUAGCGACAGAAGUAAUGCUCUCCCGUCCACCAGGUGGAACAGUUGUAGAUUACUAAGAUUGUGAUUUUGUUAAUAUACAAUAAUGAUUUUAAAAUUAUAAUAAAUAUAAAAAUAUAUAAGAUUCUAACCAGAAAAGGAUGAAUGAGAGUGAAAAAGAAAGAUAGCAAAUACAAACGGAAGUAUGCAUGUGAGAAGAACAGAAACAGAAAACAGGUUCUCGUUCGCUCUUAUUUUUUGCGUCAUUGUUCCGUCACUAAAGUCUGCCUUGAAUUUUAAUUAAUUAUAGCUCUAACAUGUAAAUUUGCAUGAUUUCAUUUCGAUUAAUGAAAUUUUUUAAUUUUACAGCUUGAUAAUUGCACUGUCCUAUUGUAUGUAUAUAAUAUUUGUUGAAUAAAUAAAUACAUGCAUAAAUAUAUGAUAACAUCCAUGCAACGAAAUCAAUAAAUUUAUUAAUUAUAAAUAAUAUUAACAAAAACAUAUUUCAAUAAAUAUAUAUUCAUAAAAGUGUCACUUUUAGACUCUAUAAUUUAUAUUCAUUUAAUCAUAUCAAAAGGAUAUUACAAUUAAUAGUCUUGAAAAAUUCAUUUAUAAAUAAAAAUAUUUUUUACACAACGAUAUAAAAUAUUUAAGGAAAUUACCUUAAAAUAAGUAUCCGAAACAAUCCAUUUUUAGAAUGUUUUUAAAUCUUGUAUCAAUGAUAUACCAUAACAAAUUAUAUACGUACAAUUAUCGACACUGUUAAAUAUAAACAAUUUUACAUAAAGAAUUAUAUAGUAUUUUUAUCGAAUCAAGUUCUCACAUAUUAAAAAAUUUGUUUUGAAAAUCAAACUUUCUGAGGUACUAAAAUUCUCACGACAACUAUCAUUACACGCAGAUUCCGUAUUGCUUAUUUUAAGGAGGAGUGUUUGUUGGCAGCACUUCAACGUUUCGUACCUGUUUAUACAUAAAUUUUGGCGCGAAUCCGAAAUGUCAUGGCGAUCGCCGGGUAUUUACGAAACGAUUAUAAAUCGAUUAAAGUAUUUUUAUUUCGUUAUUAAUAAAUUUGACUAUAUCGAUAUGUUUUUAAUUAAUAAAACAAUACGUUAGAAGCAUUGUCGUACAGAAAUAACGUGAUCGGCAGUGUUUACCAAGUGCAUUGUACUCGUAAUAGAUAAAUAUUUAAAGAAGAAAAGGACAGACAGUUGAAAAAAUAUCGAAAUGUAAGAAAAGUGUUACUAUAAUAAUUGUCACGAAUAACGUUUCAUCCAUAUCUUUUUAUUACGAGAUAGAUAAGGUGAUGUUAGUAUAAUACAAAGGCAUUGCCGAAAGUUUUAUAACUAUUUUAUAACUCUUACGAUAAUGUAGGAACUUUAGAGAGGAAAUUCUUUUCCUUCCAUUAAUCAGAUUGUGUAUACUCUCCUAUUUUCUCGUGAUUUCCGAAUUUAUUGCUAAUAAAAUUUAUGCCAAUAAAAGUAAAAAAAUCAGCUUUGUUAAUUUCGAAUUAAAUAAUAAAAACAUUAUUGAAAUUUUAGAUUCGGAAUAUUUUUUUCCAUAGCCUUUUUUAAUUUACAAUCUUGAUUACAAGUAUGCGUAACAAAUCUCUUCGUGGGAUAAGGGAAAGAUUCCUUACGGAAGUCUUAUACGAUAAAUCUUUUUUUUUUUUAUUUUAAUAAUGUGUGUGCGUGUAUUUUUGUACAAUAUAAUAAUAAUUGUAAUAGCGCAAUAGAAGUAGUAGAAUAAUAAUAAUAGAAGUAGAAGUGGUAGAACAGUUGAGAAAUAAUAAUGGCAUGUUUUAUCUCGCCGGAAUUCUCGCCAUUAUAGAAUGGAUUUCUUCGUGGAAAAAUAUAACGUACAGACGUUCACCUUCUUGUCCCGUUUUCCUUUGUCUCAUAAAAGCCAUCUAUAAUAACAAGAUUCUGGAAAAAUGGUCCGCCAUUGUUCGCCUCUACUGCCGCCACGACUAUAUAUGAAUUCGAUGGUUCUUCAUAGGAUGUUUCGAUAUUUCUUAAUGAUCGAUCGAUUCAAUUUGUGGUUUUUAGGAUUUUUUUAGAAGAGACAUUUAUUCUUCCUCUUCUUCCUCCUCUUCCUCCUCCUCUUCUUCCUCCUCCUCCUCUUCCUCCUCCUCCUCCUCCUCCUCUUC